rnacentral:rRNA from 1 species
GUCGGAAUAUUUGUCAAUGGGCGAAAGCUUGAACAAGCAAUGCCGCGUGAGCGAUGAAGGCCUUCGGGUUGUAAAGCUCUGUGUUUUGGGAAGAAAAACUGGCACGUUAAUAACUUGCCAGAUUGACGGUACCAUAAUAGAAAGCCCCGGCUAACUACGUGCCAGCAGCCGCGGUGAUACGUAGGGGGCAAGCGUUGUUCGGAAUUACUGGGUGUAAAGGGCGUACAGGCGGCUGAGUAAGUCGGAUGUGAAAUCCUUGGGCUUAACCUGAGAACUGCAUUUGAUACUGCUCGGCUUGAGGUCAGGAGAGGAAAGCGGAAUAUGUGGUGUAGCGGUGAAAUGCGCAGAUAUCACAUAGAACACCGGUGGCGAAGGCGGCUUUCUGGUCUGACUCUGACGCUGACGCGCGAAAGCUAGGGGAGCGAACGGG